rfam:Beta vulgaris subsp. vulgaris contig141734.1, whole genome shotgun sequence.
GGCUGCAACCAUACCAGCACUAAUGCACCGUAUCCUAUAAGAACUCUGCAGUUAAGCGUGCUUGGGUGAGAGUAGGCCUACGAUUAGUGACCACCUAGGAAGUCCUCCUGUUGCACCCC